rnacentral:lncRNA from 1 species
UGUCCUUUUAUUGAAUGAACAGUGCAUUUCUGUGCUGUUUGAACGGGAGUGAAGUUUCUCUCGGCAAGGAGAGGAGUUGAAACCAUUUUCUUAGCCAAACCUUGUUGAAUACUAAUGCAUUUUUAUUGGUGUUGUUUUGCAGAACUUCUGUGUCCCAUCCAGUUGCUGCAACCGAGACCUGAAGGUGUUGGGACCAGUAAAUGAUAAUUUUUUUUGGCAUUGUUGGGCAUUGUUCGGAAUUAUCGGCGUGGUGCGAUUUUCAAAUAUAAAAUGGUAAGAAAAGCAGCCAUUUUGCUGCAGUUAGUCGUCAGGAAAAUGGCAGUUUGUGUAGCUGGUGCACUGUUAUUUAUUUUAUUAUAGGUCAGUUCUGAUUAGUGCUUACUGAUGAAUGUUUCUCAUCAACAGGGGGUCUCCUUUGAAAGCCGCAUGCUAGUGUCGUGUGUGGACACACAUUCCAAGCUGCACAUCUGCAGUGCCUGUCUUGCAGCGUGGUGUGGUCACUUUCUGGAGGGAUUCGGUUCUCUCUCCCAGAUCCCGGACAAGCACGUGCCUGUUCGCUGGUCACUGAAAUCUACGUGUUCAGCAGAGCUUUCGUCUGGCUUGUUAUUCCACAGGACAGAUCACCACUUCGUGAGCUGACCAGUGCUCUCCAUGAACAGGUGAGUUAGGGCUCACAUUAUAUUAAAUCAUGUAUUCUGUGUCAUUAGUCAUUAUUCAUGAUAUUGAUAGAUAAUUAAUGAAAGCGUUUCCUUUGAUGCUUAGUAUAAUAAACACUGAGCUAACAAUUUGAUCUUCAUUCUUGAAUGAGUGGCACUCCAGGUGUAAAGGGACUUCAGGCCAGCCACAGUAGUGCAAAGUGAAGUGCAGAUGUGUUUAGGCCCCAUCCAUGUUAUUACAGCUUCAUCCAAUUCAGGGUCGAGGUAGAGCUGGAGUCUGUAUCGGCAAGAAAUGGGCUCAAGGCAGGGUACACCCUGGACAGGACUCCAGUCCAUCGCAGGGCACAUUCACACUCACAGCCACAUGUAGGGCAUAUUUCCCUAGAAGCCAGUUACCCUACCAGCAUGCUUUUGGACUGUGGGAGGAACACGGAGGGAACCCAGAUGAGCACAGG